rnacentral:rRNA from 4 species
CCAUGAAGUCGGAAUCGCUAGUAAUCGUGGAUCAGAAUGCCACGGUGAAUACGUUCCCGGGCCUUGUACACACCGCCCGUCACACCAUGGGAGUGGGUUGCAAAAGAAGUAGGUAGCUUAACCUUCGGGAGGGCGCUUACCACUUUGUGAUUCAUGACUGGGGUGAAGUCGUAACAAGGUAACCGUAGGGGAACCUGCGGUUGGAUCACCUCCUUA